UGCCUCUCCUUCCCUCCCUGCUCCGCAGGCACAGCACGGGAUCAGCAGGGAGGGGCGGCUCUGUCGUGGAGGAUCCAGGAGCUCGGCGUGCGUGUCUGAGCCUGCAGCUGCGAGCCGCAGCAGGACCCAAGGUCUGCACACGCCUGUGUACAGAAGAAUGAUGCGAGAACGGAAAAGUUGCAAUGGCAUUGCAGUUCCCUGCACAGAAAAUAGCCAGGGAGGUGAAGCAGGGCCAAGUGGUGCCGUUCGACUGCGCCCCGACUGGGAGCAUCAGGUUCAUUCCCAUUGUGAUCUGCAAAUGGCAAAUCAGGGUUGCUCUUUGUUAAAACCAAAAGCGCUCUCAGAAUGUUGAUGGAGGUGAUGAUUGCAGGGGCGAUGCUUCUGGAGAAUAGCUCCCCCAUCUUCCCCAGGGCCUGGGCAGAGAGAGGUGGAGCUCGGAGUCCCCCCAGUCCUCCCGCGGGUGUCGGCGUCUGCAGCGCCAUCGGGACGGGAUCCACGGCGCAGCUCCCUCCUCCAGAGGCCGAAAGCUCAGCCUCCAGUUUCGUGCAGGGUGAUCACCUUUCCAGGGCAAUACAAGCACUUCCCAAGAGCAGCUGGUGAAGAUGGCGCAGAAGCAAGGACAAGGGUGCAGUGAAAAGUUUGGUGCAUCGAUCCAGCCUCCGGACACGUGAUCUUCUACCCUGCCCCACGGCAAGAAGAGUUUGGUGAUUUUGCUGCUCUGCUCUCUCAAGGGUGUUGCAGGCUGCGUAGCAGGGAGUGAAGCCCUUGUCGCUGCUCAUCAGACACUUUCCUACAGAAUUCUCCCUGCAGUGAUAAAAUUAGACUGGUGUUAGUGAGCUGCCAAGUAGAGCAGGUAACAUUGGACAAGAAUGGUUUCUGAGCUGCUGUUCACUAGCACGUGUUUCCC